rnacentral:rRNA from 1 species
CAGCCGCCGCGGGAAUACGAGGGGGGCAAGCGUUGUUCGGAAUUAUUGGGCGUAAAGGGUGCGUAGGCGGUUUGAUAGUCAUCUGUGAAAUCUAUGGGCUCAACCCAUAGUCUGCAGGCGAAACUGUCGGGCUUGAGUAUUGGAGAGGUGAGUGGAAUUUCCGGUGUAGCGGUGAAAUGCGUAGAGAUGUGGAGGAACACCAGUGGCGAAGGCGACUCUCUGGUCUGUAACUGACGCUGAGGAGCGAAAGCGUGGGGAGCGAACAGGAUUAGAUACCCGAGUAGUCCCUGUCUCUUAUACA